rnacentral:rRNA from 1 species
AACGAACGCUGGCGGCAUGCCUAACACAUGCAAGUCGAACGAGAUCUUCGGGUCUAGUGGCGCACGGGUGCGUAACGCGUGGGAAUCUGCCCUUUGGUUCGGAAUAACAGUUGGAAACGACUGCUAAUACCGGAUGAUGACGAAAGCCCAAAGAUUUAUCGCCAGAGGAUGAGCCCGAGUAGGAUUAGCUAGUUGGUGUGGUAAAGGCGCACCAAGGAGACGAUCCUUAGCUGGUCUGAGAGGAUGAUCAGCCACACUGGGACUGAGACACGGCCCAGACUCCUGCGGGGGGCAGCAGUGGGGAAUAUUGGACAAUGGGCGAAAGCUUGAUCCAGCAAUGCCGCGUGAGUGAUGAAGGCCUUAGGGUUGUAAAGCUCUUUUACCCGGGAUGAUAAUGACAGUACCGGGAGAAUAAGCUCCGGCUAACUCCGUGCCAGCCGCCGCCGUAA